AUGGCGUGUCGUCAGCUCGUGUCGUGAGAUGUUGGGUUAAGUCCGUAACCGAGCGCAACCCUUGUCCUUAGUUACCAGCACGUUAUGGUGGGCACUCUAAGGAGACUGCCGGUGACAAACCGGAGGAAGGUGGGGAUGACGUCAAGUCAUCAUGGCCCUUACGGCCUGGGCUACACACGUGCUACAAUGGUCGGUACAAAGGGUUGCCAAGCCGCGAGGUGGAGCUAAUCCCAUAAAACCGAUCGUAGUCCGGAUCGCAGUCUGCAACUCGACUGCGUGAAGUCGGAAUCGCUAGUAAUCGUGAAUCAGAAUGUCACGGUGAAUACGUUCCCGGGCCUU
rnacentral:rRNA from 1 species